GCUGGCGGCGUGCUUAACACAUGCAAGUCGAACGAUGAUGCCCUGCUUGCAGGGUGGAUUAGUGGCGAACGGGUGAGUAACACGUGGGUGAUCUGCCCUGCACUUCGGGAUAAGCCUGGGAAACUGGGUCUAAUACCGGAUAUGACCCUCCUUUAGUGUGGGGGGUGGAAAGCUUUUGCGGUGUGGGAUGAGCCUGCGGCCUAUCAGCUUGUUGGUGGGGUAAUGGCCUACCAAGGCGUCGACGGGUAGCCGGCCUGAGAGGGUGAUCGGCCACAUUGGGACUGAGGCACGGCCCAGACUCCUACGGGAGGCAGCAGUGGGGAAUAUUGCACAAUGGGCGAAAGCCUGAUGCAGCGACGCCGCGUGGGGGAUGAAGGCCUUCGGGUUGUAAACUCCUUUCGCCAGGGACGAAGCGUUAUAGUGACGGUACCUGGAGAAGAAGCACCGGCUAACUACGUGCCAGCAGCCGCGGUAAUACGUAGGGUGCGAGCGUUGUCCGGAAUUACUGGGCGUAAAGAGCUCGUAGGUGGUUUGUCACGUCGUCUGUGAAAUCCCGGGGCUUAACCUCGGGCGUGCAGGCGGUACGGGCAUAACUUGAGUGCUGUAGGGGAGACUGGAAUUCCUGGUGUAGCGGUGAAAUGCGCAGAUAUCAGGAGGAACACCAAUGGCGAAGGCAGGUCUCUGGGCAGUAACUGACGCUGAGGAGCGAAAGCAUGGGUAGCGAACAGGAUUAGAUACCCUGGUAGUCC
rnacentral:rRNA from 1 species